CCUACGGGAGGCAGCAGUGGGGAAUAUUGCACAAUGGGCGCAAGCCUGAUGCAGCGACGCCGCGUGAGGGAUGACGGCCUUCGGGUUGUAAACCUCUUUCAGUAGGGAAGAAGCGAAAGUGACGGUACCUGCAGAAGAAGCGCCGGCUAACUACGUGCCAGCAGCCGCGGUAAUACGUAGGGCGCAAGCGUUAUCCGGAAUUAUUGGGCGUAAAGAGCUCGUAGGCGGUUUGUCGCGUCUGCCGUGAAAGUCCGGGGCUCAACUCCGGAUCUGCGGUGGGUACGGGCAGACUAGAGUGAUGUAGGGGAGACUGGAAUUCCUGGUGUAGCGGUGAAAUGCGCAGAUAUCAGGAGGAACACCGAUGGCGAAGGCAGGUCUCUGGGCAUUAACUGACGCUGAGGAGCGAAAGCAUGGGGAGCGAACAGGAUUAGAUACCCGUGUAGUCCAUGCCGUAAACGUUGGGCACUAGGUGUGGGGGACAUUCCACGUUUUCCGCGCCGUAGCUAACGCAUUAAGCGCCCCGCCNGGGGAGUCGGCCGCAAGGCUAAACGUCAAAUGAAUUGACGG
rnacentral:rRNA from 1 species